rnacentral:tRNA from 1 species
UGUCUGAUAGCUCAGCUGGUAGAGCGCACCCCUGAUAAGGGUGAGGUCGCGGGAUCGUUCCCCGCUCGGACAACCA